rnacentral:rRNA from 1 species
GAUGAACGCUAGCUACAGGCUUAACACAUGCAAGUCGAGGGGAAACGAUAGAGAAAGCUUGCUUUUUCUAGGCGUCGACCGGCGCACGGGUGAGUAACGCGUAUCCAACCUGCCCAUCACUUGGGGAUAACCUUGCGAAAGUAAGACUAAUACCCAAUGAUAUCUCUAGAAGACAUCUGAAAGAGAUUAAAGAUUUAUCGGUGAUGGAUGGGGAUGCGUCUGAUUAGCUUGUUGGCGGGGUAACGGCCCACCAAGGCGACGAUCAGUAGGGGUUCUGAGAGGAAGGUCCCCCACAUUGGAACUGAGACACGGUCCAAACUCCUACGGGAGGCAGCAGUGAGGAAUAUUGGUCAAUGGACGAGAGUCUGAACCAGACAAGUAGCGUGCAGGAUGACGGCCCUAUGGGUUGUAAACUGCUUUUAUAAGGGAAUAAAGUGAGUCUCGUGAGGCUUUUUGCAUGUACCUUAUGAAUAAGGACCGGCUAAUUCCGUGCCAGCAG